CAAAGUGUAGCUUAACCAAAGCAUCCAGCUUACACCCGGAAGAUUUCAAACACAUUGACCACUUUGA
rnacentral:tRNA from 1 species